rnacentral:rRNA from 1 species
AUUGAACGCUGGCGGCAGGCCUAACACAUGCAAGUCGAGCGAGCGGCGGACGGGUGAGUAAUGUCUGGGAAACUGCCUGAUGGAGGGGGAUAACUACUGGAAACGGUAGCUAAUACCGCAUACCAUCAGAUGUGCCCAGAUGGGAUUAGCUAGUAGGUGGGGAAACGGCUCACCUAGGCGACGAUCCCUAGCUGGUCUGAGAGGAUGACCAGCCACACUGAGACUGAGACACGGACCAGACGCCAACGGAAGGCCGCAGUGGGGAAUAUUGCGCAUUGGACGCAAGCCUGAUGCAGCCAUGCCGCGUGUGUGAAGAAGGCCUUCGGGUUGUAGAGCACUGUCAGCAGGGAGGCGUUACCCGCAGAAGAAGCACCGGCUGACUCCGUGCCAGCAGCCGCGGUAAUUC